GAGUUUGAAUCUGGCUCAGAUUUGAACGCUGGCGGCAGGCUUAACACAUGCAAGUCGAACGGUAGCAGGAGAAAGCUUGCUUUCUUGCUGACGAGUGGCGGACGGGUGAGUAAUGCUUGGGAAUCUAGCUUAUGGAGGGGGAUAACUACGGGAAACUGUGGCUAAUACCGCGUAGUAUCGUAAGAUGAAAGUGCGGGACCGUAAGGCCGCAUGCCAUGAGAUGAGCCCAAGUGGGAUUAGGUAGUUGGUGGGGUAAAGGCCUACCAAGCCUGCGAUCUCUAGCUGGUCUGAGAGGAUGGCCAGCCACACUGGAACUGAGACACGGUCCAGACUCCUACGGGAGGCAGCAGUGGGGAAUAUUGCGCAAUGGGGGGAACCCUGACGCAGCCAUGCCGCGUGAAUGAAGAAGGCCUUCGGGUUGUAAAGUUCUUUCGGUAUUGAGGAAGGAGUGUAUGUUAAUAGCAUACAUUAUUGACGUUAAAUACAGAAGAAGCACCGGCUAACUCCGUGCCAGCAGCCGCGGUAAUACGGAGGGUGCGAGCGUUAAUCGGAAUAACUGGGCGUAAAGGGCACGCAGGCGGUUAUUUAAGUGAGGUGUGAAAGCCCCGGGCUUAACCUGGGAAUUGCAUUUCAGACUGGGUAACUAGAGUACUUUAGGGAGGGGUAGAAUUCCACGUGUAGCGGUGAAAUGCGUAGAGAUGUGGAGGAAUACCGAAGGCGAAGGCAGCCCCUUGGGAAUGUACUGACGCUCAUGUGCGAAAGCGUGGGGAGCAAACAGGAUUAGAUACCCUGGUAGUCCACGCUGUAAACGCUGUCGAUUUGGGGAUUGAGCUUUAAGCUUGGUGCCCGUAGCUAACGUGAUAAAUCGACCGCCUAGGGAGUACGGCCACAAGGUUAAAACUCAAAUGAAUUGACGGGGGCCCGCACAAGCGGUGGAGCAUGUGGUUUAAUUCGAUGCAACGCGAAGAACCUUACCUACUCUUGACAUCCAUGGAAUCCUGUAGAGAUACGGGAGUGCCUUCGGGAACCAUGAGACAGGUGCUGCAUGGCUGUCGUCAGCUCGUGUUGUGAAAUGUUGGGUUAAGUCCCGCAACGAGCGCAAACCCUUAUCCUUUGUUGCCAGCGAUUUGGUCGGGAAACUCAAAAGGAGACUGCCAGUGAUAAAACUGGAGGAAGGUGGGGAUGACGUCAAAGUCAUCAUGGCCCUUACGAGUAGGGCUACGCGCGUGCUACGAAUGGCGUAUACAGAGGGUGGCGAAGGCUGCGAGGUGGGGCGAAUUCUCGAAAGUGACGGUCUAAGUUCCGGAUUGGAGUCUGCGGACUCGGACUCCGUAAGCUCGAAAUUCGGCUGUGAUUCGCGUAUUCAGAAUGUCGCGGUUAGUCGUUCCCGGGCCGUGGCGCCCCCCCCCG
rnacentral:rRNA from 1 species